UCUCCCACUGUAGUCAGGUGAUAUACACCUCUCUCCAAUCUCCCACUGUAGUCAGGUGAUAUACACCUCUCUCUAAUCUCCCACUGUAGUCAGGUGAUAUACACCUCUCUCUAAUCUCCCUCCCACUGUAGUCAGGUGAUAUACACCUCUCUCCAAUCUCC